AUGAUGGACUAUAGGACAGGACUGCUGCUUCUAACUGUCUGCUGGGCAGGUGUUGAUGGUCAGACUCUGACAGAAUCUGAACCAGCAGUUAAAAGUCCUGGAGGAUCUCACAGAUUGACCUGUGCAACCUCUGGAUUCACAUUCACCAGCUACCCUAUGAACUGGGUCAGACAGGCUCCUGGUAAAGGACUGGAGUGGAUUGCUUUCAUCCACACAGGCAGUUCUUCUAUCUACUACUCCCAGUCAGUCCAGGGUAGAUUCACCAUCUCCAGAGAUGACUCCAGCAGUAAACUCUAUCUGCAGAUGAACAGUCUGAAGACUGAGGACACAGCAGUGUAUUACUGUGCCAGACACACAGUAAGAGACAAUAACAGCAGCGUCAAACAAAAACUACUUCCUCUUUUUACUACCAACACGAAAAACAUUCACUUCUCUCAGUAUUAUUUGUUCUGA